rnacentral:rRNA from 1 species
AGUGAACGCUGGCGGUAUGCCUAACACAUGCAAGUCGAACGGCAGCACAGUAAGAUCUUGCUCUUACGGGUGGCGAGUGGCGGACGGGUGAGGAAUACAUCGGAAUCUACUUUUUCGUGGGGGAUAACGUAGGGAAACUUACGCUAAUACCGCAUACGACCUACGGGUUAAAGCAUUGGAUCUUCGGACCUUGCGCGAUUGAAUUAGCCGAUGUCGGAUUAGCUAGUUGGCGGGGUAAAGGCCCACCAAGGCGACGAUCCGUAGCUGGUCUGAGAGGAUGAUCAGCCACACUGGAACUGAGACACGGUCCAGACUCCUACGGGAGGCAGCAGUGGGGAAUAUUGGACAAUGGGCGCAAGCCUGAUCCAGCCAUACCGCGUGGGUGAAGAAGGCCUUCGGGUUGUAAAGCCCUUUUGUUGGGAAAGAAAAGCAGCAGGUUAAUACCCCGCUGUUCUGACGGUACCCAAAGAAUAAGCACCGGCUAACUUCGUG